rnacentral:lncRNA from 1 species
GCAGCAGUUUAAUGCAUACUACAGAUUGGAGGGCAAGGGCCACACAGCAAAUCAGGUAUGCGAGCAUCUUAGAAAGGGAAUGCAGACAUUGACUGCAGAACCAUCUCGUUGGUCCCGGAAAGGGAAUUUUCCAUACGCAAUACUCCAGGUACUGCACAAAAUAUGUCUAAAAUCAGCCACAUAAUUAAUGUCAGCCAUUAGUUACAUUUUGAAACAGAAGAACAUUUACAUUUGCAUGGUGUUUGGGUGCCCACGCGGUGUCCUUGGAGCUGUGGGACUGCUGCAUGAGGUGAAGCCGGAGCUGCCCCAGCACCCAGCGGCCCAGCUGCUGCAGUGUCUGACAUCAGCAUCCCCCUGGGAGAGCCAGAAGAUGAGCUGGCAUCUUCCCUCUUGGUUUUAAGAACACCUGCUGGACUUGCUGCUUGAAGGCAAGGGACAAUACAGCUCUCACUUACUUUCGCAAACCCAAACUGAGCUACAAACAACAAAAUGAAGUCAUAGAAAAGAAAGAACACUUGACUUGUGUCAACAUUUUUUUUUCUUUUUGAAAGAAAUCUGUUCAGUUUAAUCCUCAUGAAAGUGGGAAAAAUAAUAACAGUGGGUUAAAGCCAGUGUUUAAGAAAAUACAUUUAAAUAUAUUUUUUUACUUAAAAAUGACUUUCUUCAGCAUUCAAAGACCUAAGAGUUAAACUAUAAUUGUAUACACCUUAUGUAACAAAUUGACAAAAAAUUUAAUAAACCAGACUAUAUAAAAAGCA